UACGGAGGGUGCGAGCGUUAUCCGGAAUUACUGGGCGUAAAGCGCACGUAGGCGGCUUGGUAAGUUAGAGGUGAAAGCCUGGAGCUCAACUCCAGAAUUGCCUUUAAGACUGCCGAGCUAGCAGGUGAGAGAGGUGAGUGGAAUUCCGAGUGUAGAGGUGAAAUUCGUAGAUAUUCGGAAGAACACCAGUGGCGAAGGCGGCUCACUGGCUCAUACUGGACGCUGAGGUGCGAAAGCGUGGGGAGCAAACAGG
rnacentral:rRNA from 1 species